CAAGUCGAACGCGAAAGUCCCGCAAGGGGCAAGUAGAGAGGCAAACGGGUGAGUAACACGUGGGUGACCUGCCUUCGAGCGGGGGAUAACGUCCCGAAAGGGACGCUAAUACCGCAUAACAUCCUGCCUUUGAAGGGGUGGAGAUCAAAGCUGGGGAUCGCAAGACCCGGCACUUGAAGAGGGGCCCGCGUCUGAUUAGCUAGUUGGUGGGGUAACGGCCUACCAAGGCAUCGAUCAGUAUCCGGCCUGAGAGGGCGGACGGACACACUGGGACUGAGACACGGCCCAGACUCCUACGGGAGGCAGCAGUGGGGAAUUGUUCGCAAUGGGCGCAAGCCUGACGACGCAACGCCGCGUGGAGGAUGAAGAUUUUCGGAUCGUAAACUCCUGUCGAAUGGGACGAAUAGAUUGCGGGUGAACAGCCCGCGAUCCUGACGGUACCGUUAAAGGAAACCCCGGCUAACUCCGUGCCAGCAGCCGCGGUAAUACGGGGGGGGUAAGCGUUGUUCGGAAUUACUGGGCGUAAAGGGCUCGUAGGCGGCCAACUAAGUCAGACGUGAAAUCCCUCAGCUUAACUGGGGAACUGCGUCUGAUACUGGAUGGCUUGGAUUCGGGAGAGGGAUGCGGAAUUCCAGGUGUAGCGGUGAAAUGCGUAGAUAUCUGGAGGAACACCGGUGGCGAAGGCGGCAUCCUGGACCGAUAUUGACGCUGAGGAGCGAAAGCCAGGGGAGCAAACGGGAUUAGAUACCCCGGUAGUCCUGGCCCUAAACGAUGAAUGCUUGGUGUAGCGGGUAUCGAUCCCUGCUGUGCC
rnacentral:rRNA from 1 species